GAGUUUGAUCCUGGCUCAGAACGAACGCUGGCGGCAGGCUUAACACAUGCAAGUCGAGCGCCCCGCAAGGGGAGCGGCAGACGGGUGAGUAACGCGUGGGAACAUACCCUUUGGUUCGGAAUAACUCAGGGAAACUUGAGCUAAUACCGGAUACGUCCGUAAGGAGAAAGAUUUAUCGCCAAAGGAUUGGCCCGCGUCCGAUUAGCUAGUUGGUGAGGUAACGGCUCACCAAGGCUACGAUCGGUAGCUGGUCUGAGAGGAUGAUCAGCCACAUUGGGACUGAGACACGGCCCAAACUCCUACGGGAGGCAGCAGUGGGGAAUAUUGGACAAUGGGCGCAAGCCUGAUCCAGCCAUGCCGCGUGAGUGAUGAAGGCCUUAGGGUUGUAAAGCUCUUUUGUCCGGGAAGAUAAUGACUGUACCGGAAGAAUAAGCCCCGGCUAACUUCGUGCCAGCAGCCGCGGUAAUACGAAGGGGGCUAGCGUUGUUCGGAAUCACUGGGCGUAAAGCGUGCGCAGGCGGUUCCGUAAGACAGAUGUGAAAUCCCCGGGCUUAACCUGGGAACUGCAUUUGUGACUGCGAGACUAGAGUGUAGCAGAGGGGGGUAGAAUUCCACGUGUAGCAGUGAAAUGCGUAGAUAUGUGGAGGAAUACCGAUGGCGAAGGCAGCCCCCUGGGCUAACACUGACGCUCAUGCACGAAAGCGUGGGGAGCAAACAGGAUUAGAUACCCUGGUAGUCCACGCCCUAAACGAUGUCAACUAGGUGUUGGGGAAGGAGACUUCUUUAGUACCGCAGCUAACGCGCUAAGUUGACCGCCUGGGGAGUACGGUCGCAAGAUUAAAACUCAAAGGAAUUGACGGGGACCCGCACAAGCGGUGGAUUAUGUGGAUUAAUUCGAUGCAACGCGAAAAACCUUACCUACCCUUGACAUGCCAGGAAGAUUUCAGAGAUGAGAUUGUGCCCGAAAGGGAACCUGGACACAGGUGCUGCAUGGCUGUCGUCAGCUCGUGUCGUGAGAUGUUGGGUUAAGUCCCGCAACGAGCGCAACCCUUGUCAUUAAUUGCCAUCAUUCAGUUGGGCACUUUAAUGAGACUGCCGGUGAUAAACCGGAGGAAGGUGGGGAUGACGUCAAGUCCUCAUGGCCCUUAUGGGUAGGGCUUCACACGUAAUACAAUGGUCGGUACAGAGGGUUGCCAACCCGCGAGGGGGAGCCAAUCCCAGAAAGCCGAUCGUAGUCCGGAUUGUAGUCUGCAACUCGACUACAUGAAGUCGGAAUCGCUAGUAAUCGCGGAUCAGCAUGUCGCGGUGAAUACGUUCCCGGGUCUUGUACACACCGCCCGUCACACCAUGGGAGUGGAAUCUGGCAGAAGUAGGUAGCCUAACCGCAAGGAGGGCGCUUACCACGCUGGGUUUCAUGACUGGGGUGAAGUCGUAACAAGGUAACCGUA
rnacentral:rRNA from 1 species